GCCUAUGUGGGUCUCUGAGCAAAGAAAGGCAGAGGAGGAUUUCUGCCUGUCAGCAAGAGAAAAAAAGCCCCGAGAGCUGGAUUAAGCAUCUGGAAAAUUACUGCAGCCUCACAGCUUUUGCUGACUGCUACCCGGGUUUUUCUUUUAUUGUCUCUGAGCAAUCCAACACAAGGAAAAACAUGGAGGAAAGCAAAUUCCCAGGGAAAACUCAGAUCAUGAGGCAAAAUCACAGCCCUGCCUCCUCUAAAGGAUUCUGAAAGCUGGCUAGGAAUAACAAUAUAGGACAUUUGUAUACCCCAGUGUGUGCUGUUUCUAGUGACUGCUCAGGAACAAGACUAACAAGUAGACUACAUUAUGCCACCAUUAAAAGCUGUUACUUUAUAAAAACAAA